rnacentral:rRNA from 1 species
UACGGAGGGGGCUAGCGUUGUUCGGAAUUACUGGGCGUAAAGCGCACGUAGGCGGCUUUGUAAGUUAGAGGUGAAAGCCCAGGGCUCAACCCUGGAAUUGCCUUUAAGACUGCAUCGCUUGAACAUCGGAGAGGUAAGUGGAAUUCCGGGUGUAGAGGUGAAAUUCGUAGAUAUUCGGAAGAACACCAGUGGCGAAGGCGACUUACUGGACGAUUGUUGACGCUGAGGUGCGAAAGCGUGGGGAGCAAACAGG